rnacentral:rRNA from 2 species
ACGGGAGGCAGCAGUGAGGAAUAUUGGUCAAUGGGCGCAAGCCUGAACCAGCCAAGUAGCGUGAAGGAUGACGGCCCUAUGGGUUGUAAACUUCUUUUUCCGGGGGAUAAAGCGCCUCACGCGUGGGGUGUUGCAGGUACCCGGUGAAUAAGGACCGGCUAAUUCCGUGCCAGCAGCCGCGGUAAUACGGAAGGUCCGAGCGUUAUCCGGAUUUAUUGGGUUUAAAGGGAGCGUAGGCGGAAGGGUAAGUCAGCCGUCAAAUUGCGGAGCUCAACUCCGUUCAGCGGUUGAUACUGCCCGUCUUGAGUGCGCAAGAGGCAGGUGGAAUUCGAGGUGUAGCGGUGAAAUGCUUAGAUAUCUCGAAGAACUCCGAUUGCGAAGGCAGCCUGCUGGGGCGCUACUGACGCUGAGGCUCGAAGGUGCGGGUAUCAAACAGGAUUAGAUACCCUGGUA